UACGGAGGGUGCAAGCGUUGUCCGGAAUCAUUGGGCGUAAAGAGUUCGUAGGCGGCAUGUAAAGUCAGGUGUUAAAGGCGCAGGCUCAACCUGUGUAUGGCACUUGAUACUUGCAAGCUGGAAUGCGGUAGAGGUAAAGGGAAUUCCUGGUGUAGCGGUGAAAUGCUUAGAUAUCAGGAGGAACAUCGGUGGCGUAAGCGCUUUACUGGGCCGUAAUUGACGCUGAGGAACGAAAGCCAGGGUAGCAAAUG
rnacentral:rRNA from 1 species